rnacentral:rRNA from 1 species
GAUGAACGCUGGCGGCGUGCCUAAUACAUGCAAGUCGAGCGAAUGGAUUAAGAGCUUGCUCUUAUGAAGUUAGCGGCGGACGGGUGAGUAGCACGUGGGCAACCUGCCCAUAAGACUGGGAUAACUCCGGGAAACCGGGGCUAAUACCGGAUAACAUUUUGAACCGCAUGGUUCGAAAUUGAAAGGCGGCUUCGGCUGUCACUUAUGGAUGGACCCGCGUCGCAUUAGCUAGUUGGUGAGGUAACGGCUCACCAAGGCAACGAUGCGUAGCCGACCUGAGAGGGUGAUAGGCCACACUGGGACUGAGACACGGCCCAGACUCCUACGAGAGGCAGCAGUAGGGAAUCUUCCGCAAUGGACGAAAGUCUGACGGAGCAACGCCGCGUGAGUGAUGAAGGCUUUCGGGUCGUAAAACUCUGUUGUUAGGGAAGAACAAGUGCUAGUUGAAUAAGCUGGCACCUUGACGGUACCUAACCAGAAAGCCACGGCUAACUACGUGCCAGCCGCCGCAGUAA